rnacentral:rRNA from 1 species
AGAGUUUGAUCCUGGCUCAGAUUGAACGCUGGCGGCAUGCUUUACACAUGCAAGUCGGACGGCAGCACAGAGAAGCUUGCUUCUUGGGUGGCGAGUGGCGAACGGGUGAGUAACGCAUCGGAACGUACCGAGUAGUGGGGGAUAACUGUCCGAAAGGAUGGCUAAUACCGCAUACGCUUUGAGAAGGAAAGCGGGGGAUCUUCGGACCUCGCGCUAUUCGAGCGGCCGAUGUCUGAUUAGCUAGUUGGUGGGGUAAAGGCCUACCAAGGCGACGAUCAGUAGCGGGUCUGAGAGGAUGAUCCGCCACACUGGGACUGAGACACGGCCCAGACUCCUACGGGAGGCAGCAGUGGGGAAUUUUGGACAAUGGGCGCAAGCCUGAUCCAGCCAUGCCGCGUGUCUGAAGAAGGCCUUCGGGUUGUAAAGGACUUUUGUCAGGGAAGAAAAGCUUUGGGUUAAUACCCUGGAGUGAUGACGGUACCUGAAGAAUAAGCACCGGCUAACUACGUGCCAGCAGCCGCGGUAAUACGUAGGGUGCGAGCGUUAAUCGGAAUUACUGGGCGUAAAGCGAGCGCAGACAGUUUGUUAAGCAGGAUGUGAAAUCCCCGGGCUCAACCUGGGAACUGCGUUCUGAACUGGCAGGCUAGAGUAUGUCAGAGGGGGGUAGAAUUCCACGUGUAGCAGUGAAAUGCGUAGAGAUGUGGAGGAAUACCGAUGGCGAAGGCAGCCCCCUGGGAUAAUACUGACGUUCAUGCUCGAAAGCGUGGGUAGCAAACAGGA